CCCACGGCAUAUGGAGUUCCUGGGCCAGGGAGUGAAUCCAAGCCUGAGUUGCAACCUAUGCCACAGCGGCAGCAACGCCGGAUCCUUAACCCACUGUGCAGGGCUGGGAUUGAACCACGUCCCUGUCGCUGCAGAGACACCGUGGAUCCUGUUGUGCCACGGCAGGAACUCCUACAAUCACCGUUUAGCUUGAGUCUUUGGGAAGCGGAAGAGCUGAAUGUCCUUAACAUUCUAGCAUCCCUGAAUUACGUGUGAUCUGUAAUCACCUGACAGCAUAGGAUAUCAUCCUAUCUAAUCCGUGUAACAAUGUCAGUGGAAGAACAAGAUCUGACAAAUGUCAUGAUGUUUUGCUACUUUUAAAUGAUAGUAAAAUGGGGAGUUGGGGUUGGUAGAUAUAAAAUUUACACUUAGAAUGGAUAAGCAAUGAGCUCCUGAUGUACAGCACAGGGAACGCUAUCCAAUCUCUUGAGAUAGAACAUGAUGGAAGAUAGUAUGAGAUAAAGAAUGUGCGUGUGUGUGUGUGUGUGUGUGUGUACACACACAUAUGAAUGACUGGGUCACUUUGCUGCACAGCAGAAAUCAGCACAAAAUUGUAAAUCAACUGUACUUUCAUAAAAAAUAAAAUCAACAAUAUAAAAAUAAAAAUAUACAAACAAAUAAAUAAUGAUAAGCAUUCUAGGAGUGCCUGUUGUGGUGCAGGGUGGUGGGUUAAGAAUCCGAUGGCAGCAACACGGGUUGCUGCAGAGGCAUGGGUUGGAUCCCUGGCCUGGGAACUUCCAUAGGCUGCAGGUGCAGCAUAAAAAAUAAAAAAAUGAAAAUAAAUAAAAUGACCAAAAAUAAAUGUAAGCAUUCCGGAUAAAACUUGAAAUUCUUGUUGUGAUUCAUACAUUGAAAUUCUAAUGUCCCUUUUUAUCUUUUUUUUAUUUUUUAUUUAUUUAUUUAUUUUUUUUGUCUUUUUGCUAUUUCUUUGGGCCACUCCCGUGGCAUAUGGAGGUUCCCAGGCUAGGGGUCGAAUCGGAGCUGUAGCCACCGGCCUACGCCAGAGCCACAGCAACGCAGGAUCCGAGCCGUGUCUGCAACCUACACCACAGCUCAGGCAACGCCGGAUCGUUAACCCACUGAGCAAGGGCAGGGACCGAACCCGCAACCUCAUGGUUCCUAGUCGGAUUUGUUAACCACUGCGCCACGACGGGAACUCCAGAAUGUCCCUUUUUAGAUCAUAGGUAAAUGAGAACAGAGGCUGAGGGGAGAGCCUUUUCUCGGGGACAGAGAGACUCCUGUUUCAUUUCCACUCAAGUUUUAGGUCAGUGAUUUGAAAAGUAGUUAUUUCAGCACAUCUCUCUAUUUUGCAUACAGAAACACCUGUUUUACAAACAGUACACGUAUCUAUAUUAAAACUGUAGGCAAUGAGAGGAACACUUUUUUCUCUGAGAUCGUUUUCACCCCUCCACCAACCAAGAGCAGGCUGCAGUAGCGGGUGUGUGACUUCCUUCUUGUUUUAAUGACUCUCUCUGGGGCCAGGGCCCCAAAUCUAGCAGUGAGGCUAAUUAGGAAGAAGAGCAAUGUUAAUGUGACUCCUGGCUCUGAGUCUAAUACUCUGAGCUAUGGGGCCAACUUCCUUGUGUGCCUUCCAUCUCCUCUGCUGGCCAGUGAUUGCCCCGCCGUUAGCUGGAAGCUGCCUGGACAGCAGUUGGGAUCCUGAAAGUGUCCUGAGGCCAGGAAGGAGCUUUGGUCAGACUGGGAGGUGCAGACUGUGUCCUUGGACAGCGCGUCAUCAGUGCAGAUGACGGUGUGAAGAUGCUAUGCAAAUGGAAGCUUAUUUGCAUUAGAAAAAAAGAUCUGGGCUCUCAUAAACAUCCCUUCAUGAAAAGGAUUUUGCUAGGUAUACUGAAAAAAAAAAAAAAGACACCAUCUAAAAUGAACAUCUGUUAUAACAGCUGUUCCUGAAAGCGGAUUAAGGUACAACUGCCACAUAAAAAGUGAAAAAGGGAACUAUCUUCCCCUUUGACUUGCUGGCAUGUCAACCCCCUCCCAUUUAUUCCCGAGUCCUUCCACUGGGAUUCAUCAGCACAUUUCAGAUUUCAUAAAUGAAAAACCAGUCCAUUGUAAACCAAAGAGAAAUAUUCCACCUACCACUGGAAUGCCUCCGAGUUCUAAAAACAACAUACGCCCCCACCCAGCCCUGGGUCUCCACACAUUGUCUUUUGUUUAAAACUAAAGUGUUUGUCAUUAAACAUAAGCCCAAGAACAGGAAGCAGCUGUCCCACUGGACAAGGCCCUGGGCAGUAUGCGUGUCACUUGAAAGAGGGUGACUGUCCCGGAGAGGGCUUAGAGGAGACACGUUGUUAUUUAUUUAUUUCAGGGCGGCACCCGAGGCCUAUGGAAGUUCCCAGGCCAGGAGGCGAAUCAUAGCUGCAGCUGCCAGCCUAUGCCUACAGCCCCAGUAAUACCAGAUCCUUAACCUACUGAGUGAUGCCAGGGAUUGAACCUGUGUCCUCAUGGAUACUCAUCAUGUUCUUUACCCCUGAGCUACGACGGGAAUUCCCGAGGCAUGUUGUUAUAAAGAUGGUGAAUUAUGUGGAAACGGAGCCUUCCACGAAAUGUGUCUGAAGAAACUGGAGCUACUUAGUGUGCAGGGGAGAAGCCUUGUGGAGACACGGCAGUUGUCUUAAUAUAUUUGAAAGGCUGUCACGGGGAAUACAGAAUAGAUUUAUCCUGUGUCGCUGUGAGGUACAGAACUGGUGUCAGCAAAUGGGCUCAUUUUGAUUCAUUGUAGGAAAGAUAUUCUGUCUAAUUGGAUUUAGUAACAAAGCUGAUUGAUUCCUAAAAUAGAGGGGGAGCCCCCUGCCGCUAAGAAUAACCAAAGAGAGGUGAGAUGAGCAUGGCUCAGGAUGGGUGUGCAGAGAUUUCUCAACCUGGAAUGUGGGACCAACCAAACGACCUAUUUUUACAGUCAGGCCUAGUUUUAAGCCUUUUGUAUGAUUUUCCAAACUUAGAGAAGAAUGAUUUGGGAGUAAUUAAUUUUAAGACACAGAGAAUAAUUUAGCCCCAUUGCUGCUUCAUUCAUUAUUCUCUUUGUGAAGAUAAAUGAGAAGCAGAUGAACAGAAAAGGGGUAGAAAAAUCAGAGGGUAGAAGAAGAAGCCACAGCUUUUCCUUAUCCUCUCUUGGAAAUCGGGUAAAGAACCGUAUCAGAUGUAAAGCCGUGCCUAACUAAAGUACAAUGGCAUCCAAGGCCAUCUCACCCUUGUAACCAGUCUCCUAAAAUCUCCCAGUGGACUUGACUUUUCACCAGCAGCACGACGACGACGAUGUUGGUACAAAGUGAUAUUUCUUUUUUUUUUUUUUUGUCUUUUUGUCUUGUUGUUGUUGUUCUUGUUGCUAUUUCUUG
rnacentral:lncRNA from 1 species